GACGAACGCUGGCGGCGUGCUUAACACAUGCAAGUCGAACGGAAAGGCCCUGCUUUUGUGGGGUGCUCGAGUGGCGAACGGGUGAGUAACACGUGAGUAACCUGCCCUUGACUUUGGGAUAACUUCAGGAAACUGGGGCUAAUACCGGAUAGGAGCUCCUGCUGCAUGGUGGGGGUUGGAAAGUUUCGGCGGUUGGGGAUGGACUCGCGGCUUAUCAGCUUGUUGGUGGGGUAGUGGCUUACCAAGGCUUUGACGGGUAGCCGGCCUGAGAGGGUGACCGGCCACAUUGGGACUGAGUUACGGCCCAGACUCCUACGGGAGGCAGCAGUGGGGAAUAUUGCACAAUGGGCGGAAGCCUGAUGCAGCAACGCCGCGUGCGGGAUGACGGCCUUCGGGUUGAAAACCGCUUUCGCCUGUGACGAAGCGUGAGUGACGGUAAUGGGUAAAGAAGCACCGGCUAACUACGUG
rnacentral:rRNA from 1 species